AUGGGCUACGGGCGGAGGUGGUGGAAUACGGCUGGGAGGCGAUGUCUGCGCGCCCCCUUGACCCCCACGGCGGCCGCGAUCACCCCGCCCCGUUGCCUCCGCUGGCCCCGCCUCCAUCAGGUUCCCCCCAAGGUUCGGCGCGCCCCUCCGCCGCCCUUCCGCGGCCCCGCCCUCUCCGCCCCUCCACGACCCCGCCUCCUUCGCGAGCCCUUCCGCUUCUCCCGCUCCUCCGACUCCGCCCCCUGGAGGCCCCGCCCUCCCCGCAGGCCCCGCCCUCCCCGCAGGCCCCGCCCUCUCCGCCCCUCCACGACCCCGCCUCCUUCGCGAGCCCUUCCGCUUCUCCCGCACCUCCGACUCCGCCCCCUGGAGGCCCCGCCCUCUCCGCAGGCCCCGCCCUCCCCGCAGGCCCCGCCCUCUCCGCCCCUCCAUGACCCCGCCUCCUUCGCGAGCCCUUCCGCUUCUCCCGCCCCUCCGACUCCUCCCCUUGGAGGCCCCGCCCUCUCCGCAGGCCCCGCCCUCCCCGUAGGCCCCGCCCUCCCCGUAGGCCCCGCCCUCUCCGCCCCUCCACGACCCCGCCUCCUUCGCGAGCCCUUCCGCUUCUCCCGCCCCUCCGACUCCUCCCCUUGGAGGCCCCGCCCUCUCCGCAGGCCCCGCCCUCUCCGCCCCUCCACGACCCCGCCUCCUUCGCGAGCCCUUCCGCUUCUCCCGCUCCUCCGACUCCGCCCCCUGGAGGCCCCGCCCUCUCUGCCGGCCCCGCCCUCUCCGCCCCCCCCCCCCCGCCUCCUUCGCGAGCCCUUCCGCUUCUCCCGCCCCUCCGACUCCUCCCCUUGGAGGCCCCGCCCUCCCCGUAGGCCCCGCCCUCCCCGUAGGCCCCGCCCUCUCCGCCCCUCCACGACCCCCGCCUCCUUCGCGAGCCCUUCCGCUUCUCCCGCCCCUCCGACUCCUCCCCUUGGAGGCCCCGCCCUCCCCGCAGGCCCCGCCCUCUCCCCCGCCCCCUCCUCCCCGAGGCUCUCCACCGGUCCGCCCUAG
rnacentral:lncRNA from 1 species